AGCAGCCGCGGUAAAUUCCAGCUCCAAUAGCGUAUAUUAAAGUUGUUGCAGUUAAAAAGCUCGUAGUUGAAUUUCGGGACCAAUUUAUUAGUCGUGCUAUUGUACGUACUGGUAUUAUUGAUUCCUACCUUCUGACGAACCAUGAUGUCAUUAAUUUGGUGUCAUGGGGAAUCAGGACUGUUACUUUGAAAAAUUUAGAGUGUUUAAAGCAGGCUCACGCUUAAAUACAUUAGCAUGGAAUAACGAAAUAGGAUGUUUGAUUCUAUUUUGUUGGUUUCUAGGAUCGACGUAAUGAUUAAUAGGGAUAGUUGGGGGCAUUAGUAUUCAAUUGUCAGAGGUGAAAUUCUUGGAUUUAUUGAAGACUAGCUACUGCGAAAGCAUUUGUCAAGGAUGUUUU
rnacentral:rRNA from 1 species